CCUACGGUGGGCAGCAGUGGGGGAUAUUGCACAAUGGGGGGAACCCUGAUGCAGCGACGCCGCGUGGGUGAAGGAGCGUUUCGGCGCGUAAAGCCCUAUCGGCAGGGAAGAAGGAGGACGGUACCUGACUAAGAAGCCCCGGCUAACUACGUGCCAGCAGCCGCGGUAAUACGUAGGGGGCAAGCGUUAUCCGGAUUUACUGGGUGUAAAGGGGGCGCAGACGGCAGCGCAAGCCAGGAGUGAAAGCCCGGGGCCCAACCCCGGGACUGCUCUUGGAACUGCGCGGCUGGAGUGCAGGAGGGGCAGGCGGAAUUCCUGGUGUAGCGGUGAAAUGCGUAGAUAUCAGGAGGAACAUCAGUGGCGAAGGCGACUAUCUGGCACAUAACUGACGCUGAGGAGCGAAAGCGUGGGUAGCAAACAGGAUUAGAUACCCUAGUAGUC
rnacentral:rRNA from 1 species